CAAUAACACAAUAGAAAAAUCCAUGUACAGUGUGUGCAAAUGUAGAAGAGUAGGGAGGUUUAGGGAGGCAAUAAAUAGGUCUUGGAGGUGAAAAAAUGACAAUUUAGCAUUAACACUGGAGUGAUAGAUGUGCAGAUGAUGAUGUGCAGGUAGAGAUACUGGGGUGCAAAAGAUCAAAAAGAACAUUACAUACAUGUGUUUCUGCCUGCAUAAUUAUGUUAUGUAUUUAUGAUGUGAUUACAUUUAAUAAAUACUUAAUUCAAUCCAA